rnacentral:rRNA from 1 species
UACGGAGGGGCUAGCGUUGUUCGGAAUUACUGGGCGUAAAGCGCACGUAGGCGGCUUUGUAAGUUAGAGGUGAAAGCCCGGGGCUCAACUCCGGAAUUGCCUUUAAGACUGCAUCGCUAGAAUUGUGGAGAGGUAAGUGGAAUUCCGAGUGUAGAGGUGAAAUUCGUAGAUAUUCGCAAGAACACCAAUGGCGAAGGCAGCUUGCUGGGCUUUUUCUGACACUGAGGUACGAAAGGCGUGGGGAGCGAACAGG